rnacentral:rRNA from 1 species
GGGGGAACUGAAACAUCUAAGUACCCCGAGGAAAAGAAAUCAACCGAGAUUCCCCCAGUAGCGGCGAGCGAACGGGGAGCAGCCCAGAGCCUGAAUCAGUGUGUGUGUUAGUGGAAGCGUCUGGAAAGGCGCGCGAUACAGGGUGACAGCCCCGUACACAAAAAUGCACAUGCUGUGAGCUCGAUGAGUAGGGCGGGACACGUGGUAUCCUGUCUGAAUAUGGGGGGACCAUCCUCCAAGGCUAAAUACUCCUGACUGACCGAUAGUGAACCAGUACCGUGAGGGAAAGGCGAAAAGAACCCCGGCGAGGGGAGUGAAAAAGAACCUGAAACCGUGUACGUACAAGCAGUGGGAGCACGCUUAGGCGUGUGACUGCGUACCUUUUGUAUAAUGGGUCAGCGACUUAUAUUCUGUAGCAAGGUUAACCGAAUAGGGGAGCCGAAGGGAAACCGAGUCUUAACUGGGCGUUAAGUUGCAGGGUAUAGACCCGAAACCCGGUGAUCUAGCCAUGGGCAGGUUGAAGGUUGGGUAACACUAACUGGAGGACCGAACCGACUAAUGUUGAAAAAUUAGCGGAUGACUUGUGGCUGGGGGUGAAAGGCCAAUCAAACCGGGAGAUAGCUGGUUCUCCCCGAAAGCUAUUUAGGUAGCGCCUCGUGAAUUCAUCUCCGGGGGUAGAGCACUGUUUCGGCAAGGGGGUCAUCCCGACUUACCAACCCGAUGCAAACUGCGAAUACCGGAGAAUGUUAUCACGGGAGACACACGGCGGGUGCUAACGUCCGUCGUGAAGAGGGAAACAACCCAGACCGCCAGCUAAGGUCCCAAAGUCAUGGUUAAGUGGGAAACGAUGUGGGAAGGCCCAGACAGCCAGGAUGUUGGCUUAGAAGCAGCCAUCAUUUAAAGAAAGCGUAAUAGCUCACUGGUCGAGUCGGCCUGCGCGGAAGAUGUAACGGGGCUAAACCAUGCACCGAAGCUGCGGCAGCGACGCUUAUGCGUUGUUGGGUAGGGGAGCGUUCUGUAAGCCUGUGAAGGUGUGCUGUGAGGCAUGCUGGAGGUAUCAGAAGUGCGAAUGCUGACAUAAGUAACGAUAAAGCGGGUGAAAAGCCCGCUCGCCGGAAGACCAAGGGUUCCUGUCCAACGUUAAUCGGGGCAGGGUGAGUCGACCCCUAAGGCGAGGCCGAAAGGCGUAGUCGAUGGGAAACAGGUUAAUAUUCCUGUACUUGGUGUUACUGCGAAGGGGGGACGGAGAAGGCUAUGUUGGCCGGGCGACGGUUGUCCCGGUUUAAGCGUGUAGGCUGGUUUUCCAGGCAAAUCCGGAAAAUCAAGGCUGAGGCGUGAUGACGAGGCACUACGGUGCUGAAGCAACAAAUGCCCUGCUUCCAGGAAAAGCCUCUAAGCAUCAGGUAACAUCAAAUCGUACCCCAAACCGACACAGGUGGUCAGGUAGAGAAUACCAAGGCGCUUGAGAGAACUCGGGUGAAGGAACUAGGCAAAAUGGUGCCGUAACUUCGGGAGAAGGCACGCUGAUAUGUAGGUGAAGUCCCUCGCGGAUGGAGCUGAAAUCAGUCGAAGAUACCAGCUGGCUGCAACUGUUUAUUAAAAACACAGCACUGUGCAAACACGAAAGUGGACGUAUACGGUGUGACGCCUGCCCGGUGCCGGAAGGUUAAUUGAUGGGGUUAGCGCAAGCGAAGCUCUUGAUCGAAGCCCCGGUAAACGGCGGCCGUAACUAUAACGGUCCUAAGGUAGCGAAAUUCCUUGUCGGGUAAGUUCCGACCUGCACGAAUGGCGUAAUGAUGGCCAGGCUGUCUCCACCCGAGACUCAGUGAAAUUGAACUCGCUGUGAAGAUGCAGUGUACCCGCGGCAAGACGGAAAGACCCCGUGAACCUUUACUAUAGCUUGACACUGAACAUUGAGCCUUGAUGUGUAGGAUAGGUGGGAGGCUUUGAAGUGUGGACGCCAGUCUGCAUGGAGCCGACCUUGAAAUACCACCCUUUAAUGUUUGAUGUUCUAACGUGGACCCGUGAUCCGGGUUGCGGACAGUGUCUGGUGGGUAGUUUGACUGGGGCGGUCUCCUCCUAAAGAGUAACGGAGGAGCACGAAGGUUGGCUAAUCCUGGUCGGACAUCAGGAGGUUAGUGCAAUGGCAUAAGCCAGCUUGACUGCGAGCGUGACGGCGCGAGCAGGUGCGAAAGCAGGUCAUAGUGAUCCGGUGGUUCUGAAUGGAAGGGCCAUCGCUCAACGGAUAAAAGGUACUCCGGGGAUAACAGGCUGAUACCGCCCAAGAGUUCAUAUCGACGGCGGUGUUUGGCACCUCGAUGUCGGCUCAUCACAUCCUGGGGCUGAAGUAGGUCCCAAGGGUAUGGCUGUUCGCCAUUUAAAGUGGUACGCGAGCUGGGUUUAGAACGUCGUGAGACAGUUCGGUCCCUAUCUGCCGUGGGCGCUGGAGAACUGAGGGGGGCUGCUCCUAGUACGAGAGGACCGGAGUGGACGCAUCACUGGUGUUCGGGUUGUCAUGCCAAUGGCACUGCCCGGUAGCUAAAUGCGGAAGAGAUAAGUGCUGAAAGCAUCUAAGCACGAAACUUGCCCCGAGAUGAGUUCUCCCUGACCCUUUAAGGGUCCUGAAGGAACGUUGAAGACGACGACGUUGAUAGGCCGGGUGUGUAAGCGCAGCGAUGCGUUGAGCUAACCGGUACUAAUGAACCGUGAGGCUUAACCUU